ACAGCAUGUUUUUUAGAAGUGAAAUCAGGUUACGAAGAGCACUAAGUCAGCUUUGAAGGGGAAGUCCUGAGAGAACAGGCUGCAGCUUCAGGGUAUAACAUCUCUAUUGUAAAACCUCAGAUUGGUGCUCAAGAUAGUUUUCAGACCCUGCUCUGGAUGGAUCAGCUGGCACUACUCAGAUCAAUACACUGGCUCAUCUGGUCUUGUGGCCCCCACCCAGGAAAUGACUCAGCACAAGAGGACAGCUUUGACUCCCUAUGAUUUCAUCUCAGACCCAACCAGUCAGCUCUCCCUACUACUUGGCCCCCUACCCACCAAAUUAUCCUUUAAAAACCCCAGCCUCUAAAUUUUGGGGGUGACUGUUUUGAGUAAUAAUAAAACUCUGGUCUCCC
rnacentral:lncRNA from 1 species